rnacentral:rRNA from 1 species
UACGAAGGUGGCAAGCGUUGUUCGGAUUUACUGGGCGUACAGGGAGCGUAGGCGGUUGGGUAAGCCCUCCGUGAAAUCUCCGGGCCUAACCCGGAAAGUGCGGAGGGGACUGCUCGGCUAGAGGAUGGGAGAGGAGCGCGGAAUUCCCGGUGUAGCGGUGAAAUGCGUAGAGAUCGGGAGGAACACCUGUGGCGAAGGCGGCCGACUGGGCCGACCCUGACGCUGAGGCGCGAAGGCGUGGGGAGCGAACGGG